rnacentral:rRNA from 1 species
GGCUUCAAGCGUUGUCCGGAUUUAUUGGGCGUAAAGAGUUCGUAGGCGGUCAAGUAAGUCGGGUGUGAAAUUUCUGGGCUUAACCCAGAGACGCCACCCGAUACUGCUUAACUUGAGUUCGAUAGGGGAGUGGGGAAUUCCUAGUGUAGCGGUGAAAUGCGCAGAUAUUGGGAGGAACACCGGCGGCGAAGGCGGCGCUCUGGACUGAAACUGACGCUGAGGAGCGAAAGCAUGGGUAGCAAACAGGAUUAGAUACCCUGGUAGUCCAUGCCGUAAACGGUGGGCACUAGGUGUGGGUUCCAACUAACGGGAUCCGCGCCGUCGCUAACGCAUUAAGUGCCCCGCCUGGGGAGUACGGUCGCAAGACUAAAACUCAAAGGAAUUGACGGGGGCCCGCACAAGCAGCGGAGC